AUCUGCAACUAAUUCUUCAUCAUUAGUUUUUUUCAUUUGAGAGUAUUUCUCCACCAAAGUUGUUGUUGCAAAAUAAAAAGCAUACGUUGAAGCAAGCAUUGGCAUAAGCUUGUGCUGUUGAGACUGGUAAUCAAGAAUACUAACUUCAGGUUGGUUUGGAGGUCCAAAUUGCUGACGAAGUAGAGAAUAUCUGAUGGCAAUUGUGGCCGCAACCUUCAGGACACUUACUGAAGAAUAUGCAAGACCUACCCUACCACCAACAAGUUCACCUAGAGUUGCACCAAAUCGCUUAUUAACUGUAGGAAGACUACUUGUGUAUUUUCCAUCACGGGAGACAUCUCCAAAACGGUUUAGAAGAUUGUCUCGAGGAAUUCUUACCGAGCGGAAUCUCAAUGCUCCAUUAUCCACACCAUUGAGGCCAACUUUAUGGCCACAAUCAUGUAUCUCAAUCCCAGGGAGUGGUUGAUGGGUCUUCAUAUCCCUUAUUGGAACUAUGAAAGCAUGGACACCCAUGUCAGUAACUCCUUUGGUGUCAUAAGUGGGUAAUUUCAACCUAGCGAAAACAGUGGCAAACUUUCCAUGCACUGCAGCAUUACCAAUCCACCAUUUGAUGGCACCAUCAUUUGGUGUGUCAAUGAUAAAUUCAUCAGUGAUUACAUCAAAGGUGGCAACAGUUUGGAGGCCCUGCACAUUUGAACCUUUUAAAAGCACAAAAAGGUAAGCAAUUUAGAAAUGUGUACCUGUGGUGGUAGCAUGUUUGAGUAAAAUUCCAAGGAAAAAAAAAGACUCACAAUCCAAAGUAGUUUAAGUUGGGAAUGGAAAACAAUCUAACUAAGGAAGCAAGGGUUGUUGGUUAAAGACUUGAACUCACUUUACUGGCAAUUGAACAUACAUGAAAACUGCCAUUUGUUAGAUUAUAUCAAAUAGGGUUCAGUGACAUCUUACAUUUAGCAGUUUAUAUUUUUAUUUCUUAGUAUUCACAAAUAAUUACAAAAUUAAAUAUUGUUUUCACUUUUAUUACUUAGUUUUAAAGAUAUGUAAAAGAGUAAACAGAGUCCCUGUUAUAAAUGCUUCUGUACAAAUCCCUGUGUUUUAUCUGUCCAUAGAAAUUGUUGUAAACAUUUUAAAAUUAUUUGUAAACACAAAAACCUUCUCUCAUAUCAAUCAAGCCUCUCUACCCUAAAUUGAUGGCUACAUUUCUUUACUACGAGUUACAAGUUCAACAGUGUCCUCAUAAGUUCACUCCAUCAUCACGAGUCAGUGACACUAACCAAACCAAUGGAAUGAAAAAACAAAGCACACAAUUACAGUAGUCAACAACUUCACCGACAUAAAGAAAAAGAUGGCAUUACCAUGGUGAAGCUCGGUCAUAGCAAAACAACCGGGGUAGUCCAAGUUAUCAAUCCCAUCAAAGUACUUGUCCUUAUGCUUCUUUGUCCCCAAAUUGAGAACAGAACCACCCCAAAGACUGCGCAAGAAGAGUAGUCAACAAAAACAUGCACACUAACAUGAAUGAAAAAUAGACUCAUUCCAUUUGACAUUAGCGAAAGCAGUGAGUUACCUGUACUGGACCCCCAUCUUGAUCCCGAGCGACAUGUCAACACUUCCAACUGCUUCCAAGAUGGCGAAGUACUUGGCGGGCUCGUUGACCACGUAACGGAGGGGUCGAAUCCCCGCUUCUCUGACGAGUCCCGUUAACUGCUUCAUGCACAACUCUCGAUGUUCGUCUUUCGAGAUCUCAACGGGCGUUUGAAGGUGCGGAUUGGCGUUGAAGUAAUCGAGCACCUUCUCCUGAAUGUCCCAGUGCUUACCUCGUAUGUAACUCGACAGAGAUGGCGUGUCCACGCUCAGCUUCCCUCGCCCGCCGCACGCUGCCAUCUCCAACUGCUCCGCCGCCACGCAGGCGACGGGGUUCAGGUGCAGGGUCAGCCUUCGAAUUCUCCGCUCUGCUUCGGAGGCUGGCUCGGAGUCGGAGUUGGGUUUGGAGUUUGAAAUUUGCAUUUUGGUUUGGAGGAAUUGGAGAGAAGAAGGAAAAAGUUGUUGGUAUUGUUGUUGUUAAAGGACGAGGAAUGUGGUGGGGCUUAAGGGGGUGUUUGGUUGAUUUUUAUGUUGGAUUGGUGAUGGUCGUUAUCCAAACGUGGCUUUGAAGCAACUAUGGAUAAACUCGGAAUUUGUCAGAUCUCCAACGUUUCUUACCAACAAAAUUGUCAUCUUAUCAUUUAUUUAACUUUAAAUGUUAAAGUAAUUGUUUUUUGCUCUUUCUUCUUUUUUAUUUGUUUAAAUUAUAAAAAGUUUUUUUAUAUAUACUUUUAGAAUUUUAAUCAUAUUUUUUAUUAUAUGUUUAGCCUUUACAAAAAAAAUUAGGAUGUUUUAAAUGAACUCAAAAUCAUUAUAUUUUUAGAUUCCUGUAACGUAAUCUUAAAAGACAUUAAAAGAAUGAGUUGUAACUAAUUAAUUUAAAAAAUUCAAAUCAUUUUAAAUGUUGAUAAAUUUUGAAUAUAGUGUUAUAUAUGUAUGAAUUUUUAAUUUAUUUGAUGUUUAAAACGUGCUGUUAUAUUUUGUUAAAAAAUGAAAAUUAUUUAAAUUGAACCGUUUCAAUAUAAUGCAGAACAAGAUAGAAUUUUUCUAUUUUUUUUUUAAAAGGAAACACAGAAUUGGUUUAUCUUUGAAUGUUCUUUGUGAAGAAAAAACAAAAAAAACUACAUGGCUGUGACUCACACGGAAUCUUUUGUCUCUUUAACACGUUACAUCAAGAGUCAACUUUCUUGCACGCAUAUUCACACAGUCAUUAAUACAAUAUGUUUUGUAUUAAUAAAUUUUAAGAAAAAAAUUAAAUAUUAAUAACGAAAAUCAAUUUAAUACAUAAUUAAAUAUUGAUGUUCGUCUUUCUUUUCUCCUUUGUACAUGGAUGCUCACUUGAAAAUAUCAUUAAAUAUCACUAAAAACCACGCAUUUUUUACACAUAACAAAGAUAACAAGGUAAAAUAACACAAUCUAAGUAAAUUUCAUUUAUGUUCUUUGCAACUCACCACGGAAGAAAAAAGUAAUUGUACCAUCCCGGGAGCAUACCCGGUGUUGGGUCGACCGACCGAUGCCAACUGGGCCAGCAUGAGACAUUAUUGAUCUAGGCCUGAUGCAUCGAAGCCGACUGUUUCUUCCUGCACCUUCUGGCACCUCCAUACACAAUAUGAAAAUACAUUUUUAUCCUUCUUGUGCUAUCUCCAUAGAAUAAUUUCCAGAUUAUGUAAUUCGGAAACGCAUUUGAAAAAAGACUUCUGGAUUACAUAAUCCGGAAGUUAAAAAAAACUUCUGGAUUAUAUAAUCCGGAAAGUAAUCAUGCAUCUGAAAAAAGAGUUUCGGAUUAUAUAAUUCUAAAGCUAAUUACAAAUUUAAAAAAUGACUUCCGGAUUAUGUAAUUCGGAAUGUUACAGAGGGAUAUUUUUGAAAAUACGAAAAUCUAUGGAGGUAAGAGAAGAAGAUAUGGAGGUGCAGGAAGAACCAGCCAUCGAAACCCCUAGCUAGAGAAUACGUGAUUUGGCAGUAUACAAUGUCAAUAAUUAUCUCAUGUUCUGAUUUACUUACACAAUAUUCUUAAUUACACAAUAUUCCUAAUUAUAUUAUAUUGCGUAAAUGUUCUGAUUUAGUUACACGAUAUUCUUGAUUUACUUACACGAUAUUCUUAAUUAUAUUGCGUGAAUGUUCUGAUUUUAUGACACGAUCCUACAAUAUGUCUCAUUAAAGCUUGAAAAAUCAAUAUCAAAGGGUCAAGCGCAUAAAGGCUUAUAAAAAGACAAUCAAUCACAGGAAUUUCCUCAACUCACAUUCUGACACUAAUUUCACUGAUGCACUUAAGAUUUUGGUGUUCUAACUAAAUUGAACAUCGGCAUGUCAUCACUGAAAGAACUCCUCACGUUUUUUUUGAAGGUUGACCGCUAAGACUUGGAAGGAAACCACCAGGAAUUCGUCUGGAUUCCGACACAUUUCAAGCCGGCAAAAACUGUAACAUAAGUCCCAUUUGGACAUUCUGUUGAAAUGAAUUGAUACAAACACAUGCAAUCUUUACAAAUUUGUUCUCGCUACAGUGGAAAGUUAGAAACAAAACAGGAUUAGUUGAAAGUACUGAAUUUAAAGUAAAUAUUCAAUUCUGUUCUUAUAAAAUUGAGACUAUGAUUAAUAGGUAUUUAUUAAAUUUGUAUAUAAAUAAAGUUUUUAAAUAUUACUUUGGCGUCAAGGUUUAUUUAUUAUUUAUAAAUUAAUAUGUUUUUACACAUAAAAUGUUGCCACAAGACCAACUAAACCUUUAUAAAUAUCCGUUUCAAUUCCACGGAUAAUCUAAUCUUCAACUGAAACUUCAUUGCAUGACGCUUCAUUUAUGGCUGUGCAGAGUAUGGCGAUCUUGGUGAGGAGCAACCACUGGUAUGCCACAAUUUUAACACUGGGCCAAAAGAAUUAUAGUGUAAUUCCCAAAAGAAAAUAUGAAUCUUCUUUGCGCCCUUCGUUAUUAAAAUCCCGCAUAUUGUGUGUACUGAGAGUAAGCUCCUGAGCGCAUGACAAUAGGGGCCGUGUAACAUGAUCCGGAAGAUCAAAUGCAUCCACAAGUUCCCUUGCAACAUUCCUCACUUGAAAACUAAGAUACUCCGCAAGUUUGUGGAUAGCCUGUGAAAUCAAAAAACUUCAAUAUCCAUUAAUAAGAUUACAGCGUAAAAAAAGGCAAGGUCCUUGCAUAUCCAUCCUCAGACAAACUGCACUACUGUUAUCUUCUCAAGGUUUAAAAGUGAUUGCCAAAGACCAAAACUUUUUAACAAAGCCAACACACGCUCAUUAUUGAUUUAAGUUUUGUUGAGAGAGAGGGAAAAUUUUAUUUCAAGGAGAAUUUUCUAUAUCUUAGCUUUGUUAGGAGCCACAUAGUCAACAUUUCGAUAGGUUCCAAUGUCAUUCCAUAUUGGAUCUAGAGCAUAAAGAUCACACACGAGCUUCAGAGCAGCUUGCGAACUUGGUUCGGAACAGCUGCCACAUAUAUAGGUCAAGUUAAAAUUAGAUAAUACACAAGUACAAGGAACAACGAAAGCACUUUUGCACGGGUUCAAUGAAUUUAGCAAGGAUGACUGAUUCAAUAUGUGACUUUGCAAGUGUCAAAAGGUGAUUUAAACAUCUAUUCCAUGCACCAAAGACCCCAAGGGUUUUAGAAUGCUUGCGAAGUCGUACAGCAACACUUUGAAGUAAUCUAGAUGUUCGAUACUGCAGAGUAAAAGUCAAUAUAAAUGUUGAUUUACUUGUGUCAGCAUGAACAAUGUUUAGUCAUUAGUCAAGGAAUGAAGAUAAUACUCACUCUGAAGGCAUCCAAUUGAAAUUUAGAAUCUCGUAAAUGAUCUUUGCCUUCCCACCGAGCAGUAACCGGAUUUGGCUGUGACAUAAAAGUAUUCAUGGAUUCUCUCAAGUAGUUCCAUGUCACAGCCAAAGUUCCUCCUGUGAACUUUCCCUUGUAUUGUUUCAAAAGAUCAGCUGCAACCUUUAUUUGUAAAGGAAAACUACAAACAUAUCAGUUAACGUGCUUCCAAUACAAGAACAGCAAAACCAAAUAAAAUGCAUAGUGCAUGGCCUUAGAGAUGUAAAGCUACAGUUGCCAUCAGACAAAGGUUAAGCUUUUCCAUAAUUCCUCGCGGUUUUAAGUAUGAACUUGUACCCUCCCCGGGAUCCCAUCCAUUGCUUGUACUCUCAUUGUGUUUCACACUUGAGACUAGAGAACUGUGUACCUUUCCCAGGAUUGGAUACUGACCCCAUCCAUCAAUUGUAGCCUUGUCAUGCUUGGCAGCACUUGAGGCUCGAGAGCUAAGCACUCUACUUGGGAUAUGUUAUUGAUUCGAUCCAGAGUCAAUACCUUAGAAUCCUUUGCAACUAGCAACUAUUACACAGGUCGGAGAUCUAGAAUGAACCAUUCUAUUAUAGUUAGCCAUUCACGACACCUCUAUCCUGAUAGUUAAGGAUCAAACUGUCAAUCAAGAUCUCAGGAAGCAUGACGCUGGCCCAAUAUCUAAUAUAUGCAAAAACAACCAAAUGCGAAAGUUAACACGCAUACUCUUCUUUCUAAAAUUGAAAUUCAAAGAACACAUCACAUACCAUUAUGACAACACAAUAGGUUCCACCCACCACAACUGCACUCUCAUUUUGCUAAAUCUAACACCUAUAUUGUAGAAGACAGUAAAUACAUUUGUUAUAAGGGAGGCACCAAACACAGAUACUGAUUUAAAUGACUGAGUUCUAAGGCCCUUCUUUCCUAAUUGGAUAUCUGAUUAAAACAUACCAACAAACUAGUUAUAAAUGUAGACUAAGGGGCAGAGCGAGUGGGAUGGCCGAAGGGAACCACAACCACCACUACGUUUUGAAAUUCAAUUACUAUACAUGUACAAAAAAUAAUAUGGAUCCUUCUUAUUGACAUUGAAAGAUAAGUGGUUUAUUGAUGGUCUGGUCUGUAUUUUAUACAUUUAAUCUCUUUUUUUAAAAUAAGGGAUGCCAUGUUUGUAUUUUGUUUUGAGAUUGUUGCUAUUACUUCUACUUUCUGGUAUUUUCUUUCCAUUAGCCAUUGGGUGUUGCACUCAUGUACUACUCACACUUGUUAGUUACUAUCUCAUAUACUCAAUAUAACUAUAUAUUUAGUGUGUAAAUUGAAAAUAUAUUAAUUUUUUUCAUAUAUAAUGAAUUUCAAAAUUUAAUUGUUUCUUUUUAAGUUAUGAUAUUUUAAGUUGGUCACCCUAAUCUAAGUCCUGACUUCGCCCGUGUAGGCUGGUUAUUAUUAUCUGAGCGAAAAUAAGGCCCAACCAGCUGCAACUUGCCUUUAUUUUUGUUCUGGUAUUUAAGAAAAACCUCAAUGCAGCUUUGUUCACAAUUCCCUACAGCACUGAGGUGCAGAAGAGUGCAAAUAACUUUUUUAUAAGGGAAGCAACAAACAUAGUCCCAGAUUUAAAUGAAUGAAUUUUAAGGCCAUCAUUUCCUAUCUUAUGGUGGUUAUCUGAUUAAACAUACCAAUAAACCUGAUUAUAAAGGUAAGGGGGUAUUAAAUAUUAAAAGAGACAGAGUUAGGCUUUGACAAAAAAACCUGUUGAAGCAGAACUGUGUUGUCUCCUUCGAAUGUCUGAAAAAUGUCAUGAUCGUUCCUCAAAAUACCAAACCGGUUUACAGCGGCAUAACCAUGACCUCCACAGGCUUCCCUACAGAUGCUGAGUGACUUUGCAGUAUAGGAUGUUAUAUAAGCCUUUAGACCGGCUGAUAGAGCAUGGACAUCUGCAACUAAUUCUUCAUCAUGAGUUUUUUUCAUUUGAGAGUAUUUCUCUACCAAAGUUGUUGUUGCAAAAUAAAAAGCAUACAAGCAUUGGCAUAAGCUUGUGCUGUUGAGACUGGAAAUCAAGAAUACUAACUUCAGGUUGGUUUGGAGGUCCAAAUUGCCGACGAAGUAGAGAAUAUCUGAUGGCAAUUGUGGCCGCAACCUUCAGGACACCUACUGAAGAAUAUGCAAGACCUACCCUACCACCAACAAGUUCACCU
rnacentral:lncRNA from 1 species